rnacentral:rRNA from 1 species
UGAGGAAUAUUGGUCAAUGGGCGCAGGCCUGAACCAGCCAAGUAGCGUGAAGGAUGACUGCCCUAUGGGUUGUAAACUUCUUUUAUAAAGGAAUAAAGUCGGGUAUGUAUACCCGUUUGCAUGUACUUUAUGAAUAAGGAUCGGCUAACUCCGUGCCAGCAGCCGCGGUAAUACGGAGGAUCCGAGCGUUAUCCGGAUUUAUUGGGUUUAAAGGGAGCGUAGGCGGACGCUUAAGUCAGUUGUGAAAGUUUGCGGCUCAACCGUAAAAUUGCAGUUGAUACUGGGUGUCUUGAGUACAGUAGAGGCAGGCGGAAUUCGUGGUGUAGCGGUGAAAUGCUUAGAUAUCACGAAGAACUCCGAUUGCGAAGGCAGCUUGCUGGACUGUAACUGACGCUGAUGCUCGAAAGUGUGGGUAUCAAACAGGAUUAGAUACCCUGGUAGUCCACACAGUAAACGAUGAAUACUCGCUGUUUGCGAUAUACAGUAAGCGGCCAAGCGAAAGCGUUAAGUAUUCCACCUGGGGAGUACGCCGGCAACGGUGAAACUCAAAGGAAUUGACGGGGGCCCGCACAAGCGGAGGAACAUGUGGUUUAAUUCGAUGAUACGCGAGGAACCUUACCCGGGCUUGAAUUGCAACUGAAUGAUGUGGAGACAUGUCAGCCGCAAGGCAGUUGUGAAGGUGCUGCAUGGUUGUCGUCAGCUCGUGCCGUGAGGUGUCGGCUUAAGUGCCAUAACGAGCGCAACCCUUAUCGAUAGUUACCAUCAGGUUAUGCUGGGGACUCUGUCGAGACUGCCGUCGUAAGAUGUGAGGAAGGUGGGGAUGACGUCAAAUCAGCACGGCCCUUACGUCCGGGGCUACACACGUGUUACAAUGGGGGGUACAGCAGGCAGCUACCGGGCGACCGGAUGCCAAUCCCGAAAGCCUCUCUCAGUUCGGACUGGAGUCUGCAACCCGACUCCACGAAGCUGGAUUCGCUAGUAAUCGCGCAUCAGCCACGGCGCGGUGAAUACGUUCCC